rnacentral:rRNA from 1 species
CCUACGGGAGGCAGCAGUGGGGAAUAUUGCACAAUGGGCGAAAGCCUGAUGCAGCAACGCCGCGUGAGCGAUGAAGGCCUUCGGGUCGUAAAGCUCUGUCCUCAAGGAAGAUAAUGACGGUACUUGUGGAGGAAGCCCCGGCUAACUACGUGCCAGCAGCCGCGGUAAUACGUAGGGGGCUAGCGUUAUCCGGAAUUACUGGGCGAAAAGGGUGCGUAGGUGGUUUCUUAAGUCAGAGGUGAAAGGCUACGGCUCAACCGUAGUAAGCCUUUGAAACUGGGGAACUUGAGUGCAGGAGAGGUGAGUGGAAUUCCUGGUGUAGCGGUGAAAUGCGUAGAUAUUAGGAGGAACACCAGUUGCGAAGGCGGCUCUCUGGACAGUAACUGACGCUGAGGCGCGAAAGCGUGGGGAGCAAACAGGAUUAGAUACCCGGGUAGUC